rnacentral:rRNA from 1 species
UACAGAGGUCUCAAGCGUUGUUCGGAUUCAUUGGGCGUAAAGGGUGCGUAGGCGGCGCGGUAAGUCGGGUGUGAAAUUUCGGAGCUUAACUCCGAAACUGCAUUCGAUACUGCGGUGCUUGAGGACUGGAGAGGAGACUGGAAUUCAUGGUGUAGCAGUGAAAUGCGUAGAGAUCAUGAGGAAGACCAGUGGCGAAGGCGGGUCUCUGGACAGUUCCUGACACUGAGACACGAAGGCCCAGGGGAGCAAACGGG